CCAAAAGUGAAACGAGACAUACAUUUACAUCUUAUAGCAAAGAAACCGAAACAACAUAAAGCAGAGAGAGAGAGACCGUUAGCUUUGAAGAUACGGAAGAUUCAAGUGUGUUAUAAAAUCAUACAAAGUGUUAUAAAAUUCAUAAGAACAGAAACAACAAUGGUUCCAGUAAUUCCUACCCAAGUUCAAAAAUUCAAUUGUGGCAAGUGGUAUUGAAUGGACACACCUGCAAGGCAAAUUAUAAAAAAAGAACUUAGCACUCGAAGUGCACAUUAAGACUUUUUUUAUGAAAUUAUGUGAUGCUAUUAAACCAUUAUUAUUAUUGAUACCCCCAAAAUGCUAUAGCGGUGUAGCAGGUAGUGGUAUGACCGCUACGUCGAAGUUGAGGAAAACAAUUCAAAUGCUUUAUUCCAUACACAUAUAAUGGCUUAAAAUAGAAUAAUGCACAAAAUUAAACACAUAUUCAUAACUAAUCAUCAAAGUUCAUUGAUACAAAUAUUCAAACAUAAUAUUAAGCAAAAUAACAUGAAUUGUUGGUGCAGAAAUUGAAAAGCAGAAAGAAUGGUUGCAGAGAAGAGCAAAAUAACUUAGGAUUAGCAUAAGCACUAGCACACUCACAAAACUAAACUAAUUGAAAACAACCCAAGUUUUAAGAAACACCAAAAUUUAGUAUAACCUAUAUUCAAGCAUAAGCUAUGAACCUAAUAUACCAAAAACAACAGUGAUCUUCCCCCAAAUGUAUAUAACCCCCAGGAUGUAUUUCAUCAUCCCUUGAAAAGUUCAUUCAUAGCAUCUAAAUCACUAAUGAGCACACACAUGAUUAUUACAAUCCAAGCUAUUAUAACACAAAGAAUGAGUUAUUAGUUUUCGUCAAAGAUCGAAGUGAGAAGCGGUGUCAUCGGAGUUAUCAGGUUUCGUUUUUCACUUUUAGCAAUUUGAGAAAUUGAUAGAUUACCUUUGCAAGAGAUGAUUUUGUUUCCAAGAUGAUAAAUCACCUUCUUUGACAGAGGUGAUUUCGUUUUUCUUCAAAGUUGGAUUCAUUUUCUU
rnacentral:lncRNA from 1 species